rnacentral:rRNA from 1 species
UGGGGAAUAUUGCACAAUGGGCGAAAGCCUGAUGCAGCGACGCAGCGUGAGGGAUGAAGGCCUUCGGGUUGUAAACCUCUUUCAGCAGGGAAGAAGCGCAAGUGACGGUACCUGCAGAAGAAGCGCCGGCUAACUACGUGCCAGCAGCCGCGGUAAUACGUAGGGCGCAAGCGUUGUCCGGAAUUAUUGGGCGUAAAGAGCUCGUAGGCGGUUUGUCGCGUCUGGUGUGAAAACUCGAGGCUCAACCUCGAGCUUGCAUCGGGUACGGGCAGACUAGAGUGCGGUAGGGGAGACUGGAAUUCCUGGUGUAGCGGUGGAAUGCGCAGAUAUCAGGAGGAACACCGAUGGCGAAGGCAGGUCUCUGGGCCGCAACUGACGCUGAGGAGCGAAAGCAUGGGGAGCGAACA